GACGAACGCUGGCGGCGUGCCUAAUACAUGCAAGUAGAACGCUGAAGAGAGGAGCUUGCUCUUCUUGGAUGAGUUGCGAACGGGUGAGUAACGCGUAGGUAACCUGCCUGGUAGCGGGGGAUAACUAUUGGAAACGAUAGCUAAUACCGCAUGAUAUUAAUUGUCGCAUGAUAAUUAAUUGAAAGAUGCAAUUGCAUCACUACCAGAUGGACCUGCGUUGUAUUAGCGAGUUGGUGAGGUAACGGCUCACCAAGGCGACGAUACAUAGCCGACCUGAGAGGGUGAUCGGCCACACUGGGACUGAGACAUGGCCCAGACUCCUACGGGAGGCAGCAGUAGGGAAUCUUCGGCAAUGGGGGGAACCCUGACCGAGCAACGCCGCGUGAGUGAAGAAGGUUUUCGGAUCGUAAAGCUCUGUUGUAAGAGAAGAACGGGUGUGAGAGUGGAAAGUUCACACUGUGACGGUAUCUUACCAGAAAGGGACGGCUAACUACAUGCCAGCCGCCGCGGUAA
rnacentral:rRNA from 1 species